UCAACUCCAGGAUUUAUUUCACA
rnacentral:siRNA from 1 species